AUGGGGCGAGCGCAGCUAGCGAGAGUGUGGCACGUGGCCAGGGUGUGCGUCACGCGGGUCACAGUGGUGCGGUGGCUGCGGCGAGCGCGACGGCAGUGGCGGGCGCGAUCGACGCGGUGUGGCACAGGUGUGGGCGUGGAGAGGGAGUGGCCCCGCGGGCGCGAAAGAAGAGCAGCAGGCUCGGGCAUGGGCGCGCAUAGGAGCGGGCAUGUGCCACGGGGUCAAUCCGAGGAGCUUGGUGGCUACCCCUGCAAUGGCCACCGCGGACGGCGGUUCUCGGCCAUGGCGAAAUACCUAACGAGAGCAAACGAAAGGGGAAACAGGGGAAAGGCAAGAGGAGAUCACAGCGGUGUCAAUGGCGCCCUAGGGGAAGACAGGGGAGCUCGGGGCGGCGCGGAUCGAACGGCAAUGUUACGGUGGCCGAAGGUUGAGGAAGACGAAAGCGACGUCGAUGCGGGGGUGCUGGACUUGAUCUCGUUGGCGCAGACGAAGUAG
rnacentral:rRNA from 1 species